CAGAAGAAGCGACGGCUAAAUACGUGCCAGCAGCCGCGGUAAUACGUAUGUCGCAAGCGUUAUCCGGAAUUAUUGGGCUUAAAGGGCAUCUAGGCGGUAUAACAAGUUGAAGGUGAAAAGCUGUAGCUCAACUAUAGUCUUGCCUACAAAACUGUAAUACUAGAGUACUGGAAAGGUGGGUGGAACUACACGAGUAGAGGUGAAAUUCGUAGAUAUGUGUAGGAAUGCCGAUGAUGAAGAUAACUCACUGGACAGAAACUGACGCUGAAGUGCGAAAGCUAGGGGAGCAAACAGGAUUAGAUACCCUGGUAGUCCUAGCUGUAAACGAUGAUUACUGGGUGUGGGGAUGAGAAGUCUCUGUGCCGAAGCAAAAGCGAUAAGUAAUCCGCCUGGGGAGUACGUUCGCAAGAAUGAAACUCAAAGGAAUUGACGGGGGCCCGCACAAGCGGUGGAGCAUGUGGUUUAAUUCGACGCAACGCGAGGAACCUUACCAGACCUUGACAUCGCCGGGAGGUCAUAGAAGUAUGACUGUGCCUUCGGGAACCGGUAGACAGGUGGUGCAUGGCUGUCGACAGCUCGUGUUGUGAGAUGUUGGGUUAAGUCCCGCAACGAGCGAAACCCCUAUCAUUAGUUGCCAUCAUUAAGUUGGGGACUCUAAUGAAACUGCCUGCGAAGAGCAGGAGGAAGGUGGGGAUGACGUCAAGUCAUCAUGCCCCUUAUGGUCUGGGCUACACACGUGCUACAAUGGGUAGUACAACGAGAAGCGAUAUGGCGACAUAAAGCAAACCUUAAAAACUACUCUAAGUUCGGAUUGAAGUCUGCAACUCGACUUCAUGAAGUUGGAAUCACUAGUAAUCGCAAAUCAGCAAUGUUGCGGUGAAUACGUUCUCGGGCCUUGUACACACCGCCCGUCACACCACGAGAGUUGUUUGCACCUGAAAUUACUGGCCUAACCGUAAGGAGGGAGGUAAUGAAGGUGUGAAUAGUGAUUGGGGUGAAGUCGUAACAAGGUAUCCGUACCGGAAGGUGCGGAUG
rnacentral:rRNA from 1 species